rnacentral:rRNA from 1 species
GCGAGCUUGCCUAGAUGAUUUUAGUGCUUGCACUAAAUGAAACUAGAUACAAGCGAGCGGUGGACGGGUGAGUAACACGUGGGUAACCUGCCCAAGAGACUGGGAUAACACCUGGAAACAGAUGCUAAUACCGGAUAACAACACUAGACGCAUGUCUAGAGUUUGAAAGAUGGUUCUGCUAUCACUCUUGGAUGGACCUGCGGUGCAUUAGCUAGUUGGUAAGGUAACGGCUUACCAAGGCAAUGAUGCAUAGCCGAGUUGAGAGACUGAUCGGCCACAUUGGGACUGAGACACGGCCCAAACUCCUACGGGAGGCAGCAGUAGGGAAUCUUCCACAAUGGACGAAAGUCUGAUGGAGCAACGCCGCGUGAGUGAAGAAGGGUUUCGGCUCGUAAAGCUCUGUUGGUAGUGAAGAAAGAUAGAGGUAGUAACUGGCCUUUAUUUGACGGUAAUUACUUAGAAAGUCACGGCUAACUACGUGCCAGCAGCCGCGGUAAUACGUAGGUGGCAAGCGUUGUCCGGAUUUAUUGGGCGUAAAGCGAGUGCAGGCGGUUCAAUAAGUCUGAUGUGAAAGCCUUCGGCUCAACCGGAGAAUUGCACCCCCCCCCCGUUGAACUUGAGUGCAGAAGACGAGACCCCAACUCCAUNUNUANCAAUAGAAUGCGUAGAUUUCUUGAGGAACAANNGNGGNGAAGGGGGNUNUANGGUNNGNAANNGANGNNAGGCUCGAAAACAUGGGGGCCCUCCAUGUAGAUANNNNNNAGUCCAACAAAAAAAGAAGCGUGAUGCUCUGGGAGGUUUCCGCCUCUCAGUGCUGCAGCUAACGCAUUAAGCACUCCGCCUGGGGAGUACGACCGCAAGGUUGAAACUCAAAGGAAUUGACGGGGGCCCGCACAAGCGGUGGAGCAUGUGGUUUAAUUCGAAGCAACGCGAAGAACCUUACCAGGUCUUGACAUCCAGUGCAAACCUAAGAGAUUAGGUGUUCCCUUCGGGGACGCUGAGACAGGUGGUGCAUGGCUGUCGUCAGCUCGUGUCGUGAGAUGUUGGGUUAAGUCCCGCAACGAGCGCAACCCUUGUCAUUAGUUGCCAUCAUUAAGUUGGGCACUCUAAUGAGACUGCCGGUGACAAACCGGAGGAAGGUGGGGAUGACGUCAAGUCAUCAUGCCCCUUAUGACCUGGGCUACACACGUGCUACAAUGGACGGUACAACGAGAAGCGAACCUGCGAAGGCAAGCGGAUCUCUUAAAGCUGUUCUCAGUUCGGACUGUAGGCUGCAACUCGCCUACACGAAGCUGGAAUCGCUAGUAAUCG